GCUUUUAAAGGAAAACAGCUGAUCCGUUGGUCUUAGGAACCAAAGAUUCUUGGUGCAAAUCCAAGUAAAAGCU
rnacentral:tRNA from 1 species